rnacentral:rRNA from 1 species
UACAGAGGUCUCAAGCGUUGUUCGGAUUCAUUGGGCGUAAAGGGUGCGUAGGUGGCGCGCUAAGUCAGGUGUGAAAUUUCGGAGCUUAACUUCGAAACUGCAUUCGAUACUGCCGUGCUUGAGGACUGGAGAGGAGACUGGAAUUUACGGUGUAGCGGUGAAAUGCGUAGAUAUCGUAAGGAAGACCAGUGGCGAAGGCGGGUCUCUGGACAGUUCCUGACGCUGAGGCACGAAGGCCAGGGGAGCAAACGGG